GCCUGGGUGGCUCAGUUGGUUAAGCAUCUGACUUUGGCUCAGGUCAUGAUCUCAGGGUCCUGGGAUUGAGCCCCAACUCAGGCU
rnacentral:tRNA from 1 species